GCAUACAGCAUCUGCAGAUGCAAAGAACAUCAGGGUGUAGCAGAAGAACUAAAGGGGUCCUUCGGGGUGGCCCACUUCUUCCAGUGAACACAAGGUACUCCUCAUGACUGCAGCCACAGAAGUCCUACAAGCUUUUCUGUGAUACUAUGAUCUGGCAGGAAAUGUCUUCAUAAGAGAAGAGUCAGAAAAAGAAAUAGAUGAUCCAGCUUGAAAGACUAAAUUGAAGAAGAUCACCCCUAUGAUGAGAUCAUCCAGUGUACUGCCGGUUUCCUUCUAGAAAAAUGUGGAAGAUAUGAAGAUCAGAAGAAGCUUGCUCAAAAAAGAUUACAGAGCACUCAGUUUUGCUUUAGAAACACUAUUUCAUGUUGUAAACUGUUUUAAACAAAAUACUAUCAUCCAAAAGUGCAAUAAGAU